CUCCUGUGUUGAGGAAGAUAAUGACGGUACUCAACAAGGAAGUGACGGCUAACUACGUGCCAGCAGCCGCGGUAAAACGUAGGUCACAAGCGUUGUCCGGAAUUACUGGGUGUAAAGGGAGCGCAGGCGGGAAGACAAGUUGGAAGUGAAAUCCAUGGGCUCAACCCAUGAACUGCUUUCAAAACUGUUUUUCUUGAGUAGUGCAGAGGUAGGCGGAAUUCCCGGUGUAGCGGUGGAAUGCGUAGAUAUCGGGAGGAACACCAGUGGCGAAGGCGGCCUACUGGGCACCAACUGACGCUGAGGCUCGAAAGUGUGGGUAGCAAACAGGAUUAGAUACCCUGGUAGUCCACACUGUAAACGAUGAUUACUAGGUGUUGGAGGAUUGACCCCUUCAGUGCCGCAGUUAACACAAUAAGUAAUCCACCUGGGGAGUACGACCGCAAGGUUGAAACUCAAAGGAAUUGACGGGGGCCCGCACAAGCAGUGGAGUAUGUGGUUUAAUUCGACGCAACGCGAAGAACCUUACCAAGUCUUGACAUCCUGCGACGGUGCUGGAAACAGUACUUUCCUUCGGGACGCAGAGACAGGUGGUGCAUGGUUGUCGUCAGCUCGUGUCGUGAGAUGUUGGGUUAAGUCCCGCAACGAGCGCAACCCUUAUGGUCAGUUACUACGCAAGAGGACUCUGGCCAGACUGCGUUGACAAA
rnacentral:rRNA from 1 species